GGGCCUGACACUGCCUAGUUUGGAGACAAGACCAUGGAGCAGCCUUGCCAAGGUGGCAGUGCCAAGGGAGGCUUGGUGGGCCAGGGGACAAGUAGGCAGACAGUGAGCUGAGCUCGCCAGCAUGUGUCUGUGAAAACAGGGUCCUGUUAUGAACCCCUUGUUCUAUUAGCUCCAACUCUUGAGCUCCCAAGUGCCUCAUUUAGCCCCACACGAAGCUCACUGGAGGGGAGGAGCCAUGGCAGGCUCUCAGGAGAGGAGUGUGGGCUGAAGAUGCGCGUUGAUGAGAACCAGAGAGCCCCGUCAGGCCUCUAAGAUUUCCUCCAAAAACGCUCUUCGGGCUUCCACAGGUUGACUAGAAAGGUGCGGAGCAUCUGGCCUCAGGCAUGGAGACAGGAGGCGUUCCAUAAGCUUGCCACUUGAUAUGCCGCCUCAGAGAGGCAGCCAAGUGUGGUUAGGCUAUGGCCAUUCGCCCGAGUGCUAGGAAUCGCUGUUCUAGGAUUCUUUGAUUUUGUCUCAGCUGUCAUCUCUCUCAUGGCAUGACUCUCUUCAUCCCAGCCCUUCUGUGUGACUUCUUGGGAGAUCCUCACUGUCCAUGAGGGCACCAUGUUGCUACCACAACUCUUGCAGUUUUAUCAGUGGUACCCCUAAUGGUUUAUCUACUCUGCCAUCUCACUGUCUCCUUGGUAACCAGAGAUGCUGAGCCACUUCCAGUGGCUAUUGCUCAUUUGAGUCUUCCCAAGUUUUGAGUCCUGUCUCUUCUACUUCUUGUUGCUAUUGUUGUUUUGGUGGUGGCUGUCCCCUACGAUGGGCCUGCAGACAGCAGCUCAGGGAAAGGGCAGUGCCACUCACCUGGGUGACACUGGCCAGAACCUGGUUCAGACAGCUUGCUUAUGUGUCCAUCCACCACCCAAUCUGUGAAAGGGACAAUGUGGGCUCAGAUGGGCUGGGUGACACCUGCACCCUCCAUGGGCAUACAGUGGGGGACAGUCCCAACAUUAGGCAGAGAAAAAAACAUAAGAACACCCUAAUAUGGAUAACACACGCACACACACACUACACAUAAGCAACAUAAUACCGUUAUUUUCCAUAUCAUUUCAAAAUAUGGAAGUGAUCAACUUUACAAAAGAGCUGUGUCAAACAGACACACCUGUAUGUUUGUGAGAGGCCACUCAGGGCCCCUGAAGGGCAUACAUGGUCUGUCAAGAGAGGACAUAGGGAGCACAAAAUAACCUCCCAGCAGGGCCAUUAGAGAAGAGGUGGAUGGAUAGACUAGACCCUAUCAGGAAGGUAUAUAGGGAGUUGGGACAUUGGUGAGUUUUGCUGACUUUAGCCAAUCUGUAUUUACUCACAAUUCUGAAAAGAACUCACUAAAUCUAUGAUGGAGACAAGCCACACGUUGAUGAACAGGUCAGAGGCAACCUAGCCUCCUUGACCACACAGGCGCCCUCACGAUGAGAUUUCUUCCCUGCCAUCAGUUCCAGUUUGGGAUCUGCUCACUGCCCACAUGGCCUCCACACAGAAGCCCCGGACUUGUAUCUAACCACCUGCAGGGCUUCACACCCAGCCCAGAGAGCCUCAUCAUCACCCCGGGACCAUGUCCCUUCGGCCCUGACUGUCCCUCCUCACUGCCCCUCCACCACCUUCUUGGUCUCUUUUCUGCUUGCUACAACAAAAUACCCUGAGGAAAGCAGCUUCGGAAGAAAAGGUUACUUCGGGCUCACAAUUCCAGGUUAUAAUCCACCAUAGUGGGGAAGUCAAGGAAGCCAUGUUGAAAGCAUGCCUGAGCUCGGCACACUUUCUCCAUUUGUACAGUCCAGUAAGCCCAUCCAGGAAAUGGUGCCAUCCACAAUUAAGAUGGGUAUUCCAAUGUCAGUUAAUGUAAUCAAGGUAACCCCCACUACCCCCACUAAGGAAUGCAUAGAGACCCAUCGCCCAAGGGAUUCUGGGUUCUUGUAAGUCGAUGAUAAAAGCUAGCGAUCAUAAUCCACCUGACUUGUCAACCUGA